AGUGAGUCGUCUAUUAUCAAAGGUGGCAAUCUGUGCAUUUGGAAAAAAAAAUGUUAUUGAUAUGUCAAUACAGAUUGAUUUGAAUAUAAUCGUCUCCUUCAAAGAAUACGGUUCAAAACCUGCAUUAAAUAAAGGUUAAUAGUUAACCUGUUAUUUAUCUAAGAUGUCGUUCCGAAGAGUUUUGUGACUGCCACUGGAAUACAAAGUCAAUAAUUCAUUUUUCUGAUUUACCAAUAAUUGUCCAAAAGUCAGAUUGUCGGCUUUGAUAAUAGUCGACUCAAGUAAAACCAUAUUUUGAAGUUUGAAGUAUUCAUGGUCUGGACUCUGCCCAUUAAAAUCUCGAGAUAUAAUCGGCUUCACUACGACACCUUUGUAUGGUUCGGCGUCAGCUCGACAAACCCAACGCCAGAAGAACGAAUCCGUCGUCAGACAACGAUACUUCGUCUUUAUAAUUAAUAUGAUUUAAUAAGAACCAAAAGACGACUCCGUGUAAUGAACAUACCUUUGUUAUAUUGUUUGUUCCCGUCAAGAUAUAUCAAUGGCAAAGAUAUAACAACACCAAACAAUAAUUUUUUUUAUCAUGCGCCUUACCGUGAAGAUUCAAAGUAUAUUAUACAAUUUCUAACAAAACGUUCAACUUAAGAAACAUGUAUUUGUACUCUAUUCAACGUGUAAUAGGCAAAGUAAAUUUAUGCGUAUAUCGACUAA